rnacentral:rRNA from 1 species
AACGAACGCUGGCGGCAGGCCUAACACAUGCAAGUCGAACGCUCGUAGCAAUACGAGAGUGGCAGACGGGUGAGUAACACGUGGGAACCUUCCCUAUGGUUCGGAAUAGCUCAGGGAAACUUGGGGUAAUACCGGAUAAGCCCUUCGGGGGAAAGGAUUUAUCGCCAUUGGAUGGGCCCGGCGGUAGGAUUAGCUAGUUGGUGAGGUAAUGGCCUACCAAGGCGACGAUCGGUAGCUGGUCUGAGAGGACGACCAGCCACACUGGGACUGAGACACGGCCCAGACUCCUACGGGAGGCAGCAGUGGGGAAUAUUGGGACAAUGGGCGCAAGCCUGAUCCAGCGAUGCCGC